rnacentral:rRNA from 1 species
UACGUAGGGGGCGAGCGUUGUCCGGAGUUACUGGGCGUAAAGGGCGUGCAGGCGGUGCGGUAAGUUUAGAGUGACAGUAUCCGGCUUAACUGGAUAAGGCCUCUGAAAACUGCCGGACUUGAGGGCCAGAGAGGGACAUAGAAUUCCGGGUGGAGUGGUGAAAUGCGUAGAUAUCCGGAGGAAUACCAAAGGCGAAGGCAGUGUCCUGGCUGGCAACUG